AUUCUGCGUGGCCUCCCCUUCUUGUUUCGUGCCUUGAGCUGGCUGGUAACACGUGGGGGCUCGCCGAGAUUUUUUCAAGACAACUUUUUCAUCCACUCAUUGGGGAAUAGUGGUGGUAAAGCUGUAUUGAUUGUAUAGAUCGGGAUAUUGGCCUUUGAUACUGACGGGCACAAAACUGCCGGUGCAGCAGCAAGGGGAUUGCAAAUUGGGGGAGACGCACGCGGAAAUUUGUAAGUGUUAAACUUUUUUUGUUUUCGUUGGGUUGCCAUGGAGGAGGAAAGUCAUUUUUAAGAGUGACUGCAGCUGUGGGCUCUCGUUGAGAGAUUGGGACGGGCUGUGCAUACCAGUUCAAUUGGGUACAGGUGUUUGUAACUGGGUGGUGAGAGUAGGUGAGUACCUACUGAGCAAACGCAAACCCCUGCGCAGGUUAAGAGCGCUUACCGCUGUUUGUUGUUUUGGCCGGGCUUGUAAGAGUUUGUUGUUUUUCGUGGGUGUGUCGGACGCGCUGGAGUUGCUUAGCAGCUCAAUUGCAGGUGGACACACUGAAGAAAUAGGCACUGGAAAUAGCGAGGACUGUGUGUUGGAGAUAGAUCGGGGAAGCUCUAGUCUAGUGGGUUUUUGUGAGUGGGUGGUUCUACACCUGUGCGUGAUUUGCUGGUGUACACAAUCGCGUCAGGGAGAUUCAAUUAAUUACAACGAUCGGAAGAGUUGGGCCGGUAUAAUGGCAUAUAUGAGUGCGUUAGAGUUUGAGUUGCUUAUGGAACAGGUGAGGGCUGACGCAGCUGAAAGAGAUAAAGCUCGCAAAGUCGAAUACGAAAAGCUGAAAGAGGGAGAUAAAAAUCGCGAAAAGAGGAGAGCUGAAAUGGAUAAAGAAUGGGAAAAGCUGAAAGAUGAAGGGGAUAAGAUCGAAGAAAUGGAACAGGAUCGAAAAUUGCGGGAGAAGUAUAACUUUAAUUCACCAAGAUGGGAGGGAUAUGCAGCACCUGGUCGUCAGUCUAACAGCACAGAAAAGGAGCUGAGGGUGGUGUUGGCCGAGAAGGAGAACAUGAAGCAUAGUUUGCAGGAAAUGAAGACUGUGAAUGAGAUGUUUGAAGGGGAACUUGAGAGAGUUAAGACGAUGUUGGUAGAAGACUAUAAGUAGUCUUUAGAGGGGGGUAUGUGUCAUAAUUGGAGUAAUGAGGGUCAUAAAGGUCAUAAAAGGGUUAUUAAUAUGACAAAUCGGACGGAUGGUUAGUUUGAUCUAGCUUUGGGUGUCAGCUUGCUUGUCAUAUUGGAGUGAUGAGACAGGCCCUCUGACCUUUUCGCCCCCCUCAACACAGCCAGUUGACCCCCACAAAUGGUGUGAAUCGUUUUGAUAGUAAGGUGUUAUCUGAGAGGGUGAGAUUUCCCGGCGUAGCAAUGGUGUUUCUGCCAAGGAUCUAUCCUGUUGUCAUAGCAGGGGUCAGGAUGGCUGGCUGCUCUAGGUGUGAGCAUGGGGUUGAUAACAGAAAUUUAGUGGUGAAUGACGUCGUAAACCGGUGUUACCCCCAAGUAAACCAUAUGGCUUAUCAGGCGCUCAAGCAUAGCAAGGUCUUGUCAGCCUGUGAGAUGACAUUCUUUCAUUCUAUUAUAGCAAACUUUAACAUGAUAUACACAUAACCCCUAGGGGCUAAUGGUAAUGAUACCGGCUUAUUCAAGUCUAAAAGACUUAGUUUUGUAAGGUUUGAUCCAUAAGACAUUUGUUCAUGAGAUGGUAGCUCAACAAAAACAGCUAUAGUUCAACAACACACACACACACACACACACAUACACACACACACGCACACACACACAGGGGUAUUCUGAGGUGUUAGCGGUUUCAAGAUGAGAUAUCCGUGGGGAGUCCUGCUUCAAAAGCCUGGGGAGUCGGUCGGGUGUUUAGAGGAUAUGUCUGCAUGAUGGUCAAAAGAUGCCAAAAGGCCGCGAGACACCCACACCCACAUCAGAAUCCGAUUCAUUUAUUACAUGCUUUCAAUUAUACCAGUAAUAAAUGAAUAUGAUUAAUAGCUACUCAUAGUCUAAUGGUUAGGGCUAUCUAUAAUAUAUUGAGAAUGUUAUAUAUAUUUAUAAAUAAUGUUAUGGUCAUGAGUCGGGUAUAUUAUGUUGCAAAUGACAUCGUCUCAAACGUACACAUAUUAAACACAUGUGUUUGGAUUUUAUGGAAUCGGGGUAAACAGCUAAAGAUUAUAACCCAGCAAUGGUUUAACCAGGAGUUAUUAGGUUCAAAAUAUAGAUAUAUAGAUUUUGAAAUGGUAUGUGAUGUUCCCCUUAAUACAUCGAGGCCUGCCAAGGUGUUAGAGGGGCGUCAUGGUCGUGCGCAUCACCGUGAGGCGUGUUCAUGGCAAUCCAGCCAAGUGGUUAAAUACUGCUUUACGCUCAUUGUAUCUUUAAGCGGGGAUUUCAAACAGCCUAAAAAACACAACACCAGCAGCAGACGAACGAUGGAUGGCAUUAAUUUAGAAGACGCCGAGGAGUUUGGGUUAUCAGUGCGUAAUUACGACAAGAGACACGAGGCAUUGCUGACCGAGCCGAUAAUCAACAAGCAAAACAGCGAUGAUGUAACCCAUAAUGUGUAUUUUUCACCAGAGCUAGUCAGCCCGACAAUUAUACCAUACAGCCAUAACGGAGACCCCGGACAAUCUGCAGAAUUAUCCGGUCUUACGGAGCUUACACAGCGAGUGGGCCGGGCUCCAUACCUAGAACAAUUAUUAUCGCGAGACACGGCGUGGGAUGAUUUGCUGAAACGUACGACUGUGGAUGACGUGGAGGGAGAAGCGCCUGGAUCCAAUAAACGUUUUAAACCAGCGAACGCGGGGGGCGCAGUGGUGGCUGACGCCCAAAUACAUGAACAAGUCUUCAACACAGACGGUGGAGGAUUGGCGCAGCUGUUUGAUGACAACUACCGCUGGUCUGAUGCAGAUGUAACAUUAUGGGACCAAGUAGUGUUUGGCGGUGAAUCGGGGUACUGCACGCCCGAGCCAAUACCUGUGGAUGGUGGUCAAACACCCGCCGAAGAGAGGACAACCGACGUUGUGAUAUCUGCCCCUGCGACAGACGUGGAUGUAGUGAGCAAUCAGAACUGUGCUAUUGGACUGUUGACAUCCACACCAACUAAUCAUACACCAGUGACGACACGCCAACCCCCGGAUAUACAGCCCCCAACCACGGCCCUCAGGUAUGCGCGGGGUACUACUACCAAUGCUAAUGUGGUUAAUACAUGCAGUGUAGAUAAUACUAAUCAGCUGCAUAGACAAUUAGUGGCUCGUGUGAAUUAUUUAACCCAUCAAGCACGUAACGAUAGAAUUGCUAGAGCUAGUUUGGAUAGUGAGCUGAGCGCCGUAAAGGCUUUACUGACAACAUUAGUUGAUGAUGUAGGCGUUGUGAAGGCGAACCUGGUGAAUCAGAAUGUAGAUGUGAAAAGUAUGGUCUCGCUUAUCAGAGAACUUCAUAAUAUAGGGACCGUGGAUUGGAAUGCUAUGGGUCGAGCCAUACUAGGUUUUGAAAGAGACUCUACGGCUGUAAUAUGAUAUAUAUGGCUAUGUGUUGAUACAUGUUUAUUUCCUCACAGCUACCAGGUCAUACCUCAAUGUGCAUAUGGCUAUGUGUUUUUCCCCCUCUUAUUGUGUUUGCUUUUAUUACUUGUAAUGAUUUUAUACAAUUAGGAUGGUAUAGUGGAUCGUAUGUUUUAUUAUUUUUAUCCCUGCUGUAAUAGAGUGUAUUGCAGUGUGUGUGUGUGUGUGUGUGUGUGUGUGUGUGUGUGUGUGUGUGUGUGUGUGUGUGUGUGUGUGUGUGUGUGUGUGUGUGUGUGUGUGUGUGUGUGUGUGUGUGUGUGUGUGUGUGGGAUAUCCCCCAUUUAAACUGUUUAAUAAGGGUUAUACUUUUUAAAUACCCGGUCUGUUGUCAGAUUAUUGGGUAGAGAUCAUCAGUAUGUUUUAAAUGGUGGCGUGUUGAGUGGGGUCAGGUGUAUAAUCAUGUGGCGUACAAACAAACGUAAACGUGGGCUAGAUCAUAGUCAUAGUAAUAGCAUUACCAUGAGUGAAGAUGUCAGGCAAUUGAAUGCCCUGCUUAAUACACACUGGCCAGAUAAUAACACAGCACACAUAGCUGCACAUGGUGUAGAGCCAACGGGUGAUGAAGCAACACGGAUUCCUGGCAUUGUACAGGGAUGUAUCAAUGACCAGGGUUCAUUUGGUAAUAGUGUAUGCUCUGACGCUGGUAAUAGCCUAGUUAUGAAUAUAGCUAUCAGACAGAUGAAUGCAAUGCUUAAUACACAUUGGCCAAAUAACAAUGCUACCAACAUAGACACACAUAAUACAUAUGCAAGUGGUGAUGAAAGUGCUCUGAACAUUAAUGUUGCACACAGGGUUAUCAAUGAACAGGGUUCAGUUGCUAAUAAUCCAAACUCUGGCGUUGCCGCGAUGAUAAUCAGUAGUGAUGGUAUAACAUAUGGCCAGCCUGUAUUACAUGAUACGGACACCAGCGGGGGUGUUGGUAUUGAUGUGUUAGGUGUGGGUACGACAGCAUCGACUAGUAAUGAUCGUUGUGAUGGUGUGUUGGGUGUUAGUAGUGUUUCACAGAGGGGUCAUGGCAUCCCAAGGCCUGUUAGCCCUCUGGUGUUUAGCAGGCAUAGUCUGGAUAGUGAAGCCAUAGAGUCGCUGGUACGACAGGGUGGUUAUGUGGAGGACUAUCGGAUUGAGGGCAGACCGCGCUUUAACAGUCUAGUAGCCCACAGACUUUUAAACUUCAGGGAUGUUGUGGCCACAGAUAUGGCAGCAUAUGUGAGUCAUAUACAUGAUACAUUGGCGGGGAUUGUGGAUGUGUCAAGAAUUCUGGGUGGUGAAAAUGGGGUGCUCAACAUAACACUACGGGGUUAUAGUCUCACGAGUGACGUGAAUGUGUUGCUAACCCCUGCAAAUGGCUAUGGUUUAGAACAUCUUAUCAAUGCCAUUGAGAAGGUUUUACAGAGUAAUACGGCCAUCUUGAGUGAUAAUUCUUUAGAGUUAACAGUGGCUAUAGCCCGCUGUAGAAAUGGGGGUGGGAGACCCAGUCGAAAAUUGCGUGAUCUAGCACAUGAUGAAGUCAUUAAACAGAAAAGAAUGCACUUAUUCAACCCUGUUAACAGGUCAAAUAAUUUGUGUUUUGCCAUGUGUUUAGCAAAUUAUCUAAACCCCCAUAGUACGUCAAACAGAUUAGAGGCUAUUGCAACAGACAUGCAGAUGCGUGCAGGCUUCACCCCACAGCAGAAGAUUGGUUUUAGUGAUAUUGCCAAAUUCGAGGCCCUGUACAGUGUUAAAGUGGUGGUCUUCUACCGCGGAGCUGAUGCCAAAUUACUACAUUAUCAGACAGACGAGAAACCCAAUGAUAUCAUAGCUCAUUUAUACCUACACAACGAGCAUUAUCAUGGCAUUCUGAAUCUGCAGGGUUUCAUGGGUGUAUCGCAGGUCUGUAAGUUUUGCUACAUUGGUUACAGAGACAGCAUGUACCACCGGUGUAAAUACAUAUGUGAUGUGUGUCACGAUGUUGAUUGUCAUAGGAUGGGUGGGGGGUUCA
ensembl:lncRNA